UUGUCCGGAAUUACUGGGUGUAAAGGGAGCGUAGGCGGGACGGUAAGUCAGGUGUGAAAUAUACGUGCUCAACAUGUAGACUGCACUUGAAACUGCUGUUCUUGAGUGAAGUAGAGGUAAGCGGAAUUCCUAGUGUAGCGGUGAAAUGCGUAGAUAUUAGGAGGAACAUCGGUGGCGAAGGCGGCUUACUGGGCUUUUACUGACGCUGAGGCUCGAAAGCGUGGGGAGCAAACAGGAUUAGAUACCCUGGUAGUCCACGCUGUAAACGAUGAUUACUAGGUGUGGGGGGACUGACCCCUUCCGUGCCGCAGUUAACACAAUAAGUAAUCCACCUGGGGAGUACCACCGCAANGUUGAAACUC
rnacentral:rRNA from 1 species